GCGGAGUCUCUUAAAGCNGUUCUCAGUUCGGACUGCAGUCUGCAACUCGACUGCACGAAGCUGGAAUCGCUAGUAAUCGCGGAUCAGCACGCCGCGGUGAAUACGUUCCCGGGCCUUGUACACACCGCCCGUCACACCAUGGAAGUCGGAAAUGCCCGAAGUCUGUGACCCAACCUACGGGAGGGAGCAGCCGAAGGCAGGUCGGAUGACUGGGGUGAAGUCGUAACAAGGUAAC
rnacentral:rRNA from 1 species